rnacentral:lncRNA from 1 species
AUGACAAAUGAAGGAGAAGUAAAGGUAUUCUCAGAAGAAGGAAAGCUGAGAGAAUUCUUAACCAGCAGACCUCCUCAAGAAGAACUUCUAAACAUUUCUUCUAAUCAGACAGAAGUUUAUUUUGGCAUCAUUUGCAAUUCUGUGCCUGAUGAUCAUAUCUGAAAAUCGGAGAUGGAGGUGCAGAAAGCUGGAAAGAGCCCACGGCCUUCACAGAUGUAUGGAACCACCCUAUAGCCCUCAAUUGCCUCUCUCUGAACUUCUUUCUUGUGAGAAAUAAAC